rnacentral:rRNA from 1 species
CCCUACGGGGCGCAGCAGUAGGGAAUCUUCCACAAUGGGCGAAAGCCUGAUGGAGCAACGCCGCGUGGGUGAAGAGGGUCUUCGGAUCGUAAAACCCUGUUGUUAGAGAAGAAAGUGCGUGAGAGUAACUGUUCACGUUUCGACGGUAUCUAACCAGAAAGCCACGGCUAACUACGUGCCAGCAGCCGCGGUAAUACGUAGGUGGCAAGCGUUAUCCGGAUUUAUUGGGCGUAAAGGGAACGCAGGCGGUCUUUUAGGUCUGAUGUGAAAGCCUUCGGCUUAACCGGAGUAGUGCAUUGGAAACU